GCAAAUCGAGGGAGCACAAUGGAGUCCGGCAGGGUGGGUGGACUUUUAGAGUGCGUGGCCGGAAGAGAGAGGCCUUGGGUGAAGUGUUGCCUUGCUGUGGAGAGCUCUUAGAGGACAAAUAAAAGGAACACACUCUAGGCAGAAGGAACAGCCCCUGAGAAGAACCUGAGCCCAGCAAGAGCUUGGCGUAAUCUGAGGAGCAGAGGGGGCCCCGUAGGACCGUGCACGGAGGGAUGAAGAUGCAGGGAUGCCAAGCGAGUCUGCUAAGAAUCCUGCUUCAUCUAGACCGUGCCGCACCUUUGGGAACAAGGCAAGGAUCUCCGGGUUUAUCUUCAAGAUAAGAAGCGCCAUCAGAGUUGGCUCUUUGCUUCUUGGUUUGGAGGCUGUAUGGAAUCUAGGAAGAGUGUAGUGAGUCUCAUGCACGGAAUGGGCUAUGGCGGGUAACUGGGAGAGCUCGGAAACGAACGAGUAGAGCAAGAGGGAGAUUCUCCUAGAAAGAGCCGCUUCAUCUGUUAAGGAGGAACUAUGAAACCUCUUACAGCAGGCUGCGACCUCCCUGUCCAUCCUGUGUAAAAUAUGAAAUAAGAGUUUUAAUUACCGAGCUUGGAAGGCUGCCGACAUGUUUAAUAUUUAAUGUCUCCAAUGCCUGUGCCCCAGGCGUGCCGGCACUGACACAAUUGGGGUUUCCCUUGGGUUGGUUCUGAAUGUACUUGGACAACAGCCAGGCAGCCGCCUUCCCCAACACCUGGGAGCCUCCUGUAGCCCAGCCUGGGCCCAGGCCUGCCCUGAGCCUCCCACCCCCUGAGGGACUCCUGACGAGAAGGCCCAGUGAGGCCUGUUCUUCCACCUCAGGGUGGACAUCAGGUCCUGGAGGCCCUGCGAACUAGCUAGUUAGUACUGGACCCAGCUCAGGGUCCUGGCAGAGAAACGAGAGUCAGUAGAAGAUGGGAGCCCAGGAGGGGGCCGGGGCAGAUGAGCUUGAGUUUGAGGUCUGCUUUUCUGCAAGCCAUUUAGCCCUUUCUCUGGGUGUCACUUUUAUUAUUCAUAAAGCGGAGAGUGUAUUUCCUGCGUUCCGGGUUGUUAAUGUGUCGCUAUUUUUGAGGUUUAGCAUGUGCCAGAGCCCCGCUAAGCACUUCGCAUGUACCGUGUCUUCCUCAAUACAACGACCCUUUGAAGUGGCUAAGCUGGAACUUGGGAACGAGGCCUCCUGAUUCCAGAGCUUGCGACUCCAAGGGCUUUGUGUGGAAGAGCCUUGCGUGUUUGGAGAAAUGUGAACCACCCAGUUCCAGUCCCUGUGCAGUGGCGCCUUCCGUUUGCUAGGCAGUGGGGACUCAGGGCAGCACCUCGUACUGCGACUGUGUGCCUCACAUCUCAUUCCUGCACAGAGGUGGGGGGCACCCAAGCUGUGUCUGAUUAGUUGAUUGGCACUGUCAAAAUAGUUGAAUCCCCCAGGCAUGGUGGCGCAUGCCUUUAAUCUCAACACUUGAGAAGCAAAGGGAGGUGGAUUUCUAGUUUCAGGCCAGCCUGGUCUACACAGGAAGGCCCUUUUGUUUUGCUUUGUUUAAUUUUUGUUGUUGUUUAAGACAGGGUUUCUCUGUGUAGCCCAGGCUGCCCUGGAACUAGCUUUGUAGACCAGGAUGGCCUCAAAGUCACAGAGAUCUGCCUGCCUCUGACUCUGGAAUGCAGGGACUAAAAGUACAUGCCACCGUCAAUCGAUGGCCCUGACUUAAAAGAAAAAAAAAUAAAAGCAGAAUUCUUGGA
rnacentral:sRNA from 1 species